UACGGAGGGUGCAAGCGUUGUCCGGAUUUAUUGGGUUUAAAGGGUGCGUAGGCGGCCCGUUAAGUCAGUGGUGAAAGCCUCCAGCUCAACUGGAGAACUGCCAUUGAUACUGACGGGCUUGAGUACAGACGAGGUUGGCGGAAUUGAUUGUGUAGCGGUGAAAUGCGCAGAUAUCAGGAGGAACACCGGUGGCGAAGGCGGGUCUCUGGGCCGUAACUGACGCUGAGGAGCGAAAGCAUGGGGAGCGAACAGG
rnacentral:rRNA from 1 species